GGAGAGAUGUCCGAGUGGUUUAAGGAGCUGGUCUCGAAAACCGGUAUCUGAUUUAUUCAGAUCGUGGGUUCGAAUCCCACUCUCUCCG
rnacentral:tRNA from 1 species